CCUACGGGAGUCAGCAGUGGGGAAUAUUGGGCAAUGGGCGCAAGCCUGACCCAGCAACGCCGCGUGAAGGAAGAAGGCGUUCGGGUUGUAAACUUCUUUUCUCAGGGACGAAGCAAGUGACGGUACCUGAGGAAUAAGCCACGGCUAACUACGUGCCAGCAGCCGCGGUAAUACGGAGGUGGCAAGCGUUAUCCGGAUUUAAUGGGUGUAAAGGGCGUGUAGGCGGGAAAGCAAGUCAGAUGUGAAAACCAUGGGCUAAACCUGUGGCCUGCAUUUAAAACUGUUUUUCUUGAGUACUGGAGAGGCAGACGGAAUUACUAGUGUAGCGGUGACAUGCGUAGAUAUUAGGAAGAACACCGAUGGCGAAGGCGGUCUGCUGGACAGCAACUGACGCUGAGGCGCGAGAGCGUGGGGAGCAAACAGGAUUAGAUACCCGAGUAGUC
rnacentral:rRNA from 1 species